AACGCGAAGAACCUUACCUGGUCUUGACAUCCACAGAACUUUCCAGAGAUGGAUUGGUGCCUUCGGGAACUGUGAGACAGGUGCUGCAUGGCUGUCGUCAGCUCGUGUUGUGAAAUGUUGGGUUAAGUCCCGCAACGAGCGCAACCCUUAUCCUUUGUUGCCAGCGGUUAGGCCGGGAACUCAAAGGAGACUGCCAGUGAUAAACUGGAGGAAGGUGGGGAUGACGUCAAGUCAUCAUGGCCCUUACGACCAGGGCUACACACGUGCUACAAUGGCAUAUACAAAGAGAAGCGACCUCGCGAGAGCAAGCGGACCUCAUAAAGUAUGUCGUAGUCCGGAUUGGAGUCUGCAACUCGACUCCAUGAAGUCGGAAUCGCUAGUAAUCGUAGAUCAGAAUGCUACGGUGAAUACGUUCCC
rnacentral:rRNA from 1 species